rnacentral:rRNA from 1 species
AACGAACGCUGGCGGCAUGCCUAACACAUGCAAGUCGAACGAGACCUUCGGGUCUAGUGGCGCACGGGUGCGUAACGCGUGGGAACCUGCCCUUAGGUUCGGAAUAACUCCCCGAAAGGGGUGCUAAUACCGGUUAAUGUCUUCGGACCAAAGAUUUAUCGCCUUUGGAUGGGCCCGCGUUGGAUUAGCUUGUUGGUAGGGUAAAAGCCUACCAAGGCGACGAUCCAUAGCUGGUCUGAGAGGAUGAUCAGCCACACUGGGACUGAGACACGGCCCAGACUCCUACGGGAGGCAGCAGUGGGGAAUAUUGGACAAGGGGCGAAAGCCUGAUCAAGCAAUGCCGCGUGAGUGAUGAAGGCCUUAGGGUUGUAAAGCUCUUUUACACGGGAUGAUAAUGACAGUACCGGGAGAAUAAGCACCGGCUAACUACGUG